GACCGGCUGAUCCCUCGUCCAAGGAGGCGUACCGACUGUCCUGGAAUGGUGGCAUCAGUGAAGAGUAGCUGUUCCCAGCGAUGAAGGAUGUCGAGUUCCUGAGUGAGCAGGGCCCACACAGUAUCUUCCUCUCUGUGGAUCCAUUGUAUUGGCAGUUCGGGAGUAGUAUCAGUGAAGGAAAUCCAUGUCGCGUUUGUGGGUGAGCAAGGAUUGUGCAGCGUCUGCCUCUUCAGUUGUGCACCAUCUAUGAGGAGCCCCCGCA